AGAGUUUGAUCAUGGCUCAGGACGAACGCUGGCGGCGUGCCUAAUGCAUGCAAGUCGCACGCAGGGCUUCGGCUCUGAGUGGCGCACGGCUGAGUAACGCGUGGAUAUCUGCCCCUUCGUGGGGGACAACAGCUGGAAACAGCUGCUAAUCCCGCAUACGCUCGCAAGAGGAAAGCUGGCAACAGCGCGGGGGGGGGAAUCUGCGCCCCAUCAGGUAGUUGGUGUGGUAAUGGCGCACCAAGCCAAUGACGGGUCGCUGGUCUGAGAGGAUGACCAGCCAGACUGGGACUGAGACACGGCCCAGACUCCUACGGGAGGCAGCAGCAAGGAAUUUUCCCCAAUGGGCGCAAGCCUGAGGGAGCAACGCCGCGUGGAGGAUGACGGCCUUCGGGUUGUAAACUCCUUUUGGGGGGGACGAUAUGGACGGUACCCCUCGAAUAAGCCCCGGCUAACUCCGUGCCAGCCGCCGCGGUAAUAC
rnacentral:rRNA from 1 species